rnacentral:lncRNA from 1 species
AUAUCUCUUUCAACUUAUCAUGCAUUGCCCGGUUUAGAACCAGUCUAUGACUGAAAACGUGAAGUAAAUUGUUAAAAAGUGUGUAAUAAUAAAAUCAAAUAAAUAUAGAAUAAGGAGCUGUGUCAUUAUUGCCAAUGAUAAAAAUAUGCUAGAGAGUUCAAAAAUAUUUAAGAAAUUAUAGAUAAAAGUGCAACUUUUAACCACAGGAAAAACUACCAUAGAGUCAUCUUUAAAAGGUGAAACAAUUCAAUAAAAAAAACAACAGUGGCAUAAUUUAUGACAAAGCAUUAAACGCUGAUAACAAAAAAAAAACGUCAACAAUCAUCGACAACCUCUGAAUUCUAGCAUGUUUAUCAUGUUCUAAUGUGACAAAUAGUUUUUAAAAAGUUACAAUCUAAAUGAUGAGUAAAAAAAAGGAAAUACUGCAUUGCAAAAAGGAAAAGAAAAGAAAGGACAAACCAGACAGAAAACUAAAAUACUUUACAAAGUGAACAUACUAAAGAUCGAGGAUAAACUUAGAUAAUAUAAUAUAGAUUUAAACUAGGAGUACCAUUCAUAAGAAAAAUUUCUGUACAAAAUCAGGAAUAUGACAGUUGUUAUCCAUUCGUUUUAUGAGUUUAAGCUUUUGAUUUUGCCAUUAGAAUAGGGACUAUCGCUUUAGAAUUUUCCUCGGGGUUUAAAAUUUUUUAUGAUGUUACAAAUAUGUUUCCCC